rnacentral:lncRNA from 1 species
AUGACAGGAAGACUGAACUGCCAAAGCAAGAUGGAUUUCCUUAUUCUCAUUCACAGCAGUAUACGACAUAAAGAUAAAACCCAACUUUUCAUGGACCAGAACACCUGCAGUCUAACCAAAGUAUCCACUUUGUCUUCCGAAGGACCAAGUCAACAGCAGCAGAAAGCAAAGCAAUACACUGCAGAUCUGAAGCAUUCAAGCUCCCUUUAAAAUCCAGCUCUUUAAUUUUUGAUGGUGUAAGUGGUUCCACCCAAAUUCUUUUUUCCUGUCUGGUUGAAUCCGUUUAAAUUGAUAGCCAGUGGAGUUAAUUGGCACAAGUCAGAAUCUGUACUCUGAAAGGGGCAUGACUUAAAGUGAUUUAAUGCUUAUGCUUGGCCUCCUCACUUCUCCCUUUAGAGGACACACCUGGCCCCAUAGUUGCAAAGGCAGUGAGGAUGCCUUCUGUCCCUUGAGGAUGGAAUCAUAGCACUGAGCCUUGUUACCAGCAGUUUGCGGUAACUCUCUCGCGGCAUGCUAUAGAAUAUGUGGGGACCAAAUUCAACAAACCCAGAACUAGAAAGCCCUGCUUGGGUGGCAGGUGUGAAGGCUAGCCCUUCAGCCUUGCUUGCUGAGAAAAUACUCUCAAU